UACGGGAGGCAGCAGUGGGGAAUAUUGCACAAUGGGCGAAAGCCUGAUGCAGCUAUGCCGCGUGUAUGAAGAAGGCCUUAGGGUUGUAAAGUACUUUCAUCGGGGAGGAAAAACAAAAACUAAUAAUUUUAUUUUCUUGACGUUACCCGAAAAAGAAAGCACCGGCUAACUCCAUGCCAGCAGCCGCGGUAAUACGGAGGGUGCUAGCGUUAAUCAGAAUUACUGGGCGUAAAGAGCACGUAGGUGGUUUUUUUAAGUUCAGAUGUGAAAUCCCUGGGCUUAACCUAGGAACUGCAUUUUGAAACUGAAAUACUAGAGUAUCGUAGAGGGAGGUAGAAUUCUAGGUGUAGCGGUGAAAUGCGUAGAUAUCUGGAGGAAUACCUGUGGCGAAAGCGGCCUCCUAAACGAAUACUGACACUGAGGUGCGAAAGCGUGGGGAGCAAACAGGGAUUAGAUACC
rnacentral:rRNA from 1 species